ACGAACGCUGGCGGCGUGCUUAACACAUGCAAGUCGAACGAGAGGACAAGAGAAGCUUGCUUCUUUGGAAUCGAGUGGCAAACGGGUGAGUAACACGUAAACAACCUGCCUUCAGGAUGGGGACAACAGACGGAAACGACUGCUAAUACCGAAUACGCUUGGGAGACCGCAUGAUCUACCAAGGAAAGGGUGGCCUCUACCUGUAAGCUAUCGCCUGAAGAGGGGUUUGCGUCUGAUUAGGCAGUUGGUGAGGUAACGGCCCACCAAACCUACGAUCAGUAGCCGGUCUGAGAGGAUGAACGGCCACACUGGAACUGAGACACGGUCCAGACUCCUACGGGAGGCAGCAGUGGGGAAUCUUCCGCAAUGGGCGAAAGCCUGACGGAGCAACGCCGCGUGAGUGAUGACGGCCUUCGGGUUGUAAAGCUCUGUGAUCGGGGACGAACGGUCCGUAAGCUAAUACCUUAUGGAAGUGACGGUACCCGAAUAGCAAGCCACGGCUAACUACGUG
rnacentral:rRNA from 1 species